rnacentral:other from 1 species
AAUGCCCUGCUAUGCUCGUGAUGCUGAUCCAGGUUUUGCCCAACCUUUGGACGUUGGGGCAUCACCUCCGGAGGCUUGUUGCAAGCUGCUGCGGGAGCAGUAGCACGAAAGCCGAAGGGGCGCCCCCAGUGAUUUUGAGAGCAAAAAACUCGGAGGGCACACGGCACAGCGGGGCUUUU